rnacentral:rRNA from 3 species
GGACUACCGGGGUAUCUAAUCCCGUUCGCUACCCUAGCUUUCGUGCCUCAGCGUCAGAAGAGACCCAGUGAGCCGCUUUCGCCACGGGUGUUCCUUAGGAUAUCAACGCAUUUCACCGCUCCACCCUAAGUUCCGCUCACCUCUAUCUCCCUCGAGCACGGUAGUUUUGGGCGCAGUUCCUCGGUUGAGCCGAGGGAUUUCACACCCAACUUUCCGCGCCGCCUACGCACCCUUUAAGCCCAGUAAUUCCGAAUAACGUUUGUGUGGUUCGUCUUACCGCGGCUGCUGGCAC